GUGGGCCUACGGGGCGCAGCAGUAGGGAAUCUUCCACAAUGGACGAAAGUCUGAUGGAGCAACGCCGCGUGAGUGAAGAAGGGUUUCGGAUCGUAAAACUCUGUUGGUAGAGAAGAACGUUGGUGAGAGUGGAAAGCUCAUCAAGUGACGGUAACUACCCAGAAAGGGACGGCUAACUACGUGCCAGCAGCCGCGGUAAUACGUAGGUCCCGAGCGUUGUCCGGAUUUAUUGGGCGUAAAGCGAGCGCAGGUGGUUUAUUAAGUCUGGUGUAAAAGGCAGUGGCUCAACCAUUGUAUGCAUUGGA
rnacentral:rRNA from 1 species